rnacentral:rRNA from 1 species
UACGGAGGGAGCUAGCGUUGUCCGGAAUUAUUGGGCGUAAAGAGCUCGUAGGCGGUGUGUCACGUCGGCCGUGAAAACCUGGGGCUUAACUCUGGGCGUGCGGUCGAUACGGGCAUCACUAGAGUACGGAAGAGGCAAGUGGAAUUCCUGGUGUAGCGGUGGAAUGCGCAGAUAUCAGGAGGAACACCUAUAGCGAAGGCAGCUUGCUGGGACGUUACUGACGCUAAGGCGCGAAAGCGUGGGGAGCGAACAGG